rnacentral:rRNA from 1 species
GACGAACGCUGGCGGCGUGCCUAACACAUGCAAGUCGAACGAAAAGGCCCGGCUUUUGCGGGGUGCUCGAUUGGCGAACGGGUGAGUAACACGUGAGUAACCUGUCCCUGACUUAGUGAUAUCUUCAGGAAACUGGGGCUCAUACCGCAUAGGAUCUCUUGCUGCAUGGUGGGCGCUGGUAAGAUUCGGUGGUUGGGGAUGUACUGGCGGCAUAUCAGCUUGUUGGUGGGGUAGUGGCGUACCAAGGCUUUGACGGGUAGCCGGCCUGAGAGGCUGGCCGGACACCUUACGACUGAGAUACGGACCAGACUGCUACGGGACGCAAAAGGGGAGAAGCUUACAGAGUAAGCGGGAGCCUGAUGCAACAGCGCCGCGUGCGGGAAGAGCGGAUACGAGUUGAGAACCAAUUUGUCAUGAACUGAAGAGUGAGUGACGGUAACGGGUAAAGAAGCCCCGGCUAACUACGUG